rnacentral:rRNA from 1 species
UUUAUGGAGAGUUUGAUCCUGGCUCAGGAUGAACGCUGGCGGCGUGCCUAAUACAUGCAAGUCGAGCGAACGGACGAGAAGCUUGCUUCUCUGAUGUUAGCGGCGGACGGGUGAGUAACACGUGGAUAACCUACCUAUAAGACUGGGAUAACUUCGGGAAACCGGAGCUAAUACCGGAUAAUAUUUUGAACCGCAUGGUUCAAAAGUAAAAGACGGUCUUGC